AGAGUUUGAUCAUGGCUCAGGAUAAACGCUGGCGGCGUGCUUCAGGCAUGCAAGUCGAACGAACAGUCCGGCUUCGGCCGAACUGUUAGUGGCGGACGGGUGAGUAACACGUAAGUAACCUGCCCGGAAGUGGGGAAUAACAAGCCGAAAGGUUUGCUAAUACCGCAUGUGAAGGCUCUUCCUCGGGGGAGUCUUGAAAGGUGUAAAUCGCUUCCGGAGGGGCUUGCGGUCGAUUAGCUAGUUGGUGGGGUAAUGGCCUACCAAGGCGACGAUCGAUAGCUGGUCUGAGAGGACGGUCAGCCACACGGGGACUGAGAUACGGCCCCGACUCCUACGGGAGGCAGCAGCUAGGAAUCUUGGGAAUGCGCGAAAGCGUGACCCAGCAACGCCGCGUGGGCGAUGAAGGCCUUCGGGUCGUAAAGCCCUUUUGCAGGGGACGAUAGUGACGGUACCUUGCGAAUAAGCCACGGCUAACUACGUGCCAGCAGCCGCGGUAAUAC
rnacentral:rRNA from 1 species